UGGUGAUUGUCUCCUUUGUUUUAGCCUAUUGGUGCUCUAAACCCAAAGAGAGCAGCAUUCUUCGCAGAGCGAUAUGAAUCAUGGGAAGAUGAUCAGGUUCCAAAGUUUCACUAUGGCACUCAUUACUCAACUGCAAGUUUUGCACUCACUUGGUUGUUGAGAAUUGAGCCCUUUACAACAUUUUUCCUACAUGUACAAGGCGGGAAGUUUGACCAUGCAGAUAGGACUUUUUCAUCAAUUUCAAGAGCAUGGCGCAACAGCCAGCGUGACACGUCUGAUAUAAAGGAGCUGAUUCCUGAAUUUUAUUAUCUCCCAGAGAUGUUUGUCAACCUCAACAAUUACAAUCUUGGUGUGAUGGAUGAUGGAACAGUGGUAUCUGAUGUUGAACUUCCACCAUGGGCCAAAACCCCAGAAGAAUUUGUUCGCAUAAACAGGCUGGUAAGAUGGCUAUCAUCUUUUGUCAGUUGA